rnacentral:lncRNA from 1 species
GUUCGUUUCUGUGUGUGUUACAUUUUAACGUUGCGUCGUUUGUUUUCUCUUAAUUUUCAGUGUAAAUUCACAUUGCGAUAAGACGUGUCACGGUACUUGUCUAUUCCAAAUUCAUGUAUUUGGUUUUGAUGUUAUAUUUGUUUUUCUUGUGGGAUUUUGUCUGAUGCUGGGUCCGUUUCUGUGUGUGUUUCAUUGUAGUGUUGUGUCGUUGUUUUCCUCUUAUAUUUAAUGCGUUUCCAUCAGUUUUAGUUUGUUACCCCGAUUUAGUUUUUUGUCCAUGGAUUUAUGAGUUUGAACAGCGGUAUACUACUGUUGCCUUUAUUUGGAUUACUGAAGGAUAUUGUUACAAGUCAAU